AUACGUAGGGGGCGAGCGUUGUCCGGAAUGAUUGGGCGUAAAGGGCGCGUAGGCGGCCCGGUAAGUCUGGAGUGAAAGUCCUGUUUUUAAGAUGGGAAUUGCUUUGGAUACUGUCGGGCUUGAGUGCAGGAGAGGUAAGUGGAAUUCCCAGUGUAGCGGUGAAAUGCGUAGAGAUUGGGAGGAACACCAGUGGCGAAGGCGACUUACUGGACUGUAACUGACGCUGAGGCGCGAAAGUGUGGGGAGCAAACAGGAUUAGAUACCCUGGUAGUCCACACUGUAAACGAUGAAUGCUAGGUGUAGGGGGUAUCGACCCCUUCUGUGCCGCAGUCAACACAAUAAGUAUUCCGCCUGGGGAGUACGGCCGCAAGGUUGAAACUCAAAUGAAUUGACGGGG
rnacentral:rRNA from 1 species